GCCCAGGUGGCGGAAUUGGUAGACGCGCACGUUUCAGGUGCGUGUGUCGCGAGGCAUGCAGGUUCGAGUCCUGUUCUGGGCACCA
rnacentral:tRNA from 5 species